AUACGUAGGGGGCGAGCGUUGUCCGGAAUUAUUGGGCGUAAAGGGUGCGUAGGCGGCUGAACAAGUCAGAUGUGAAAGGUUAAGGCUUAACUUUAAUAAGCAUAUGAAACUGUUCAGCUUGAGUUAAGGAGAGGGGAGUGGAAUUCCUAGUGUAGCGGUGAAAUGCGUAGAUAUUAGGAGGAAUACCAGUGGCGAAGGCGACUCUCUGGACUUAAACUGACGCUGAGGCACGAAAGCGUGGGGAGCAAACAGGAUUAGAUACCCUGGUAGUCCACGCCGUAAACGAUGAGUGUUAGGUGUAGGGGGCUUGAAGCUUUCUGUGCCGCAGUAAACGCAAUAAACACUCCGCCUGGGGAGUACGGUCGCAAGACUAAA
rnacentral:rRNA from 1 species